ACACAGAGAUAGGAAGGCAGGGACCCAAUCCAUUCUAUUGUUCCUGAGCCCAUCAUGGCCAACAGACUCUUUUGCUGGGUCUCCCUUUUUCUCCUUGGAGCAGCUCCCACUGAAGCAGGAAUCACUCAGACACCCAGAUACCUGGUGACGAAGAUGAAGCAGGAGGUGACACUGAGAUGUGAACAAAAUUUGGGCCACAAUGCCAUGUAUUGGUACCAACAGGAGCCACAGAAAGGACCCAAGAUAAUGUUUUCUUAUAAUUAUAAAGAGAUGAACGUAAAUGAGACUGUUCCUCCCCGAUUCAAGCCUACAUUAGUAAAUAAUCACUUGACUCUCAGCAUCCAGCCUGUGGAAGCAGAAGACUCAGCCACCUACCUCUGUGGUAGCAGCAGAGACACAGCCUUGCAGAGUCAUCUCCAAGCUGUGCAGAAACCUCCUGAUCCCCGGCAUAGGUAG